rnacentral:rRNA from 1 species
GUGGGGAAUAUUGGACAAUGGGCGAAAGCCUGAUCCAGCCAUGCCGCGUGUGUGAAGAAGGUCUUCGGAUUGUAAAGCACUUUAAGUUGGGAGGAAGGGCAGUAAGUUAAUACCUUGCUGUUUUGACGUUACCGACAGAAUAAGCACCGGCUAACUUCGUGCCAGCAGCCGCGGUAAUACGAAGGGUGCAAGCGUUAAUCGGAAUUACUGGGCGUAAAGCGCGCGUAGGUGGUUUUGUAAGUUGGAGGUGAAAUCCCCGGGCUCAACCUGGGAACUGCCUCCAAAACUGCAUGACUAGAGUACGGUAGAGGGUAGUGGAAUUUCCUGUGUAGCGGUGAAAUGCGUAGAUAUAGGAAGGAACGCCAGUGGCGAAGGCGACUACCUGGACUGAUACUGACACUGAGGUGCGAAAGCGUGGGGAGCAAACAGGAUUAGAAACCCGGGUAGUCC